rnacentral:rRNA from 1 species
GAACCUCAGAUCAGGCGAGAUCACCCGCUGAAUUUAAGCAUAUCAAUAAGCGGAGGAAAAGAAACUAACAAGGAUUCCCUUAGUAACGGCGAGCGAAGUGGGAAGAGCUCGAGCCUGUAAUCCCUGGCAGUCACUGUCAGGGAAUUGUGGCCGGGAGAGGCGACUAGGCACUGUCCGACGCUGUCGAAGUUGACCUGGAAAGGCACGUCAUAGAGGGUGAGAGCCCCGUGUGCGACACCGUCGAGCAAGGCCGCUAUUGCCUUCAGAGAGUCGGGUUGUUUGGGAAUGCAGCCCAAAGUGGGUGGUAAACUCCAUCUAAAGCUAAAUAUCUGCACGAGACCGAUAGCAAACAAGUACCG